UUGAACGCUGGCGGCAGGCCUAACACAUGCAAGUCGAGCGGAUGAAGGGAGCUUGCUCCUGGAUUCAGCGGCGGACGGGUGAGUAAUGCCUAGGAAUCUGCCUGGUAGUGGGGGAUAACGUCCGGAAACGGGCGCUAAUACCGCAUACGUCCUGAGGGAGAAAGUGGGGGAUCUUCGGACCUCACGCUAUCAGAUGAGCCUAGGUCGGAUUAGCUAGUUGGUGGGGUAAAGGCCUACCAAGGCGACGAUCCGUAACUGGUCUGAGAGGAUGAUCAGUCACACUGGAACUGAGACACGGUCCAGACUCCUACGGGAGGCAGCAGUGGGGAAUAUUGGACAAUGGGCGAAAGCCUGCUCCAGCCAUGCCGCGUGUGUGAAGAAGGUCUUCGGAUUGUAAAGCACUUUAAGCUGGGAGGAGGGGCAGUAAGUUAAGACCUUGCUGUUUUGACGUUACCAACAGAAUAAGCACCGGCUAACUUCGU
rnacentral:rRNA from 1 species